GGCUCAAUAGUAUAGGGGUAGUAUAGGUCUUUCGGGUUUUGGAGAUUACUCGCUGAACAGAAGGCCUCAGUCUAUAGACCAGACCUGGGUUCGACUCCCGGUUGAGCCC
rnacentral:tRNA from 1 species